UACCUGCCCUCAACUAGAUUUCAGUUAAAGAAAAAAGUACAUAUAAAAAUAUUCUAUUUUAAAUAGAAUUUUCUAAGUGCCAGGGUGAAUGUGACACAUUUAUUAAUUUAAUCAUUUAUCCACCAAACAUUUGUUGAGUGUUUUGAUGUGUCAAGCACUCUGUGGAUCACUGAAGAUAUAAACAUGAAUAAAUCAUGCAUAGUGCCUGUCCUAGAUGAUUUAGAGGAAGUAGAAACUAUGGUAGGCUAGAAUCUUGUUACUCAAAGUGCAUCUAAGGACCAAUAACGUGGGUAUCAUGCUUAUUUCAGGUCCCAUCCAGAUCUCCUGAAUCAGAAACUGCAUUUCAACAACAUACCAGAGUGAUGCAAAUUUUAGUGUUUACGGGAGGACCUGGACUUGGUGUCUGAAGUUGCCUGCUCCACAGGAAACCACCUCCUUCUGCUGCUUGCUUUCUCUUGAGCCAACACCCAAAGCCACCAUCAGUGUCAUGGGGAUGAGACUUUUCAAGGCUGUUCCCACUUUCUUCUUCUUCCUCCUUUGCAGAAGGUAAAACAUCAAUUUAAGAUGAUGAAACCAGACAUUUUGAGAAAAGUUUGGACAACAAUGACAAAGGCAA